rnacentral:rRNA from 1 species
GUGAGGAAUUUUCCGCAAUGGGCGAAAGCCUGACGGAGCAAUGCCGCGUGAAGGAUGAAGGCCUAUGGGUUGUAAACUUCUUUUCUCAGAAAAGAAUUAUGACGGUAUCUGAGGAAUAAGCAUCGGCUAACUCUGUGCCAGCAGCCGCGUAAGACAGAGGAUGCAAGCGUUAUCCGGAAUGAUUGGGCGUAAAGCGUCUGUAGGUUGUUUAAAAAGUAUUCUGUCAAAGAUUAGGGCUUAACCCUAGAUAGGCAGAAUAAACUUUUAAGCUAGAGUUUGGUAGAGGCAGAGGGAAUUCCCGGUGGAGCGGUGAAAUGCGUAGAUAUCGGGAGGAACACCAAAGGCGAAGGCACUCUGCUGGGCCAAUACUAACACUGAGAGACGAAAGCGAGGGGAGCAAAUGGGAUUAGAAACCCUUGUAGUCC